UACGAAGGGGGCAAGCGUUGUUCGGAAUUACUGGGCGUAAAGGGCGCGUAGGCGGCCGAUCAAGUCAGGCGUGAAAUUCCCGGGCUCAACCUGGGGGCUGCGCUUGAUACUGAUUGGCUUGAAUGCGGGAGAGGAUAGUGGAAUUCCCAGUGUAGAGGUGAAAUUCGUAGAUAUUGGGAAGAACACCGGUGGCGAAGGCGGCUCACUGGCCAGUUUCUGACGCUGCAGCGCGAAAGCGUUGGGGAG
rnacentral:rRNA from 1 species